rnacentral:rRNA from 1 species
CGCUGGCGGCGUGCUAAUACAUGCAAGUCAACUUGACUUUAGAUAGCAAUAUCGAAAGUAGGGUGGCGCACGGGUGCGUAACGCGUAGGUAAUCUGCCCUGAGGUCUGACAUAACCCGUCGAAAGGCGGGCUAACAUCAGAUGAUAUAUAAUCACGACAUCGUGGAAAUAUCAAAUCUUCGGAGCCUUGGGAUGAGCCUGCGUCUGAUUAGGUAGUUGGCGGAGUAAUAGCCCACCAAGCCUACGAUCAGUAGCUGGUCUGAGAGGAUGAUCAGCCACACUGGAACUGAGACACGGUCCAGACUCCUACGGGAGGCAGCAGUAAGGAAUAUUGCUCAAUGGGGGAAACCCUGAAGCAGCAACGCCGCGUGAAGGAUGAAAUACUUUUGUAUGUAAACUUCUGUAAGAUGGGAAAAAUAUUCUCCUCGGGAGAAUUGAUUGUACCAUCAGAGUAAGCCCCGGCUAACUACGUG